UACGGAGGCAGCAGUGGGGAAUAUUGCACAAUGGGCGGAAGCCUGAUGCAGCGACGCCGCGUGAGGGAUGACGGCCUUCGGGUUGUAAACCUCUUUCAGUAGGGAAGAAGCGAAAGUGACGGUACCUGCAGAAGAAGCGCCGGCUAACUACGUGCCAGCAGCCGCGGUAAUACGUAGGGCGCAAGCGUUAUCCGGAUUUAUUGGGCGUAAAGAGCUCGUAGGCGGUUUGUCGCGUCUGCCGUGAAAGUCCGAGGCUCAACCUCGGAUCUGCGGUGGGUACGGGCAGACUAGAGUGAUGUAGGGGAGACUGGAAUUCCUGGUGUAGCGGUGAAAUGCGCAGAUAUCAGGAGGAACACCGAUGGCGAAAGGCAGGUCUCUGGGCAUUUUACUGACGCUGAGGAGCGAAAGCAUGGGGAGCGAACAGGGAUUAGAUACC
rnacentral:rRNA from 1 species